CCCUUAGAUGUUCGGGGCCGCACGCGCGCUACACUGAAGGAAUCAGCACGUCUUUCUCCUUGUCCGAAAGGGCUGGGUAACCCGCUGAACCUCCUUCGUGCUAGGGAUUGGGGCUUGUAAUUCUUCCCCAUGAACGAGGAAUUCCCAGUAAGCGCGAGUCAUAAGCUCGCGUUGAUUACGUCCCUGCCCUUUGUACACACCGCCCGUCGCUACUACCGAUUGGAUGGUUUAGUGAGAUCCUCGGAUUGGUCCCGGCGCGGCCUCUGGUCGUGCCGGAGUGCCGAAAAGAAUGUCGAACUUGAUCAUCUAGAGGAAGUAAAAGUCGUAACA
rnacentral:rRNA from 1 species